CAAAGAAAUUAACAGAUUAGAAUUUUUAUAUUAGAUUUAUUUUAACAGAGAGACAGAAUAUAAAACAAAUAUGCUGUAACAUUAAAUUAUAUAUUAAAAAAUGAUAUAUUUUAACACAAAAAUAGAGUUAUUACUGCAAGUCAGUGUUAAAUAGUAAAAAGACCCAAGUCAGGAACACACACGCAAUCUUCCAUUUAUUUAGUUCACCCACUGGUAACACACACAGCAGGUGAAUUUCGGCAUGAGCGCGUGUAUUCCCGACCCAGACCAAACUCUAAUAUUUCAUACACUGUAUUUAUACCAAGAGAUCUUUACAAUUCACAUGAUCAUGUUACCUGAUCAAAAUGGGUGCUUCUCUUAAAUGCCUUGAUAAUAGAAGCUGAUGUCACUUCCUGUCCUGACUCCUCCUCUUCCCUUUCUGUAUUGUAAUCUCAUUGGAGUGGUUGAAAGAAGCAGAAAUAGAGGACAGGGUAGUGUGGAGGAGGAUGAUCCGCUGUGGCGCCCCCUAAAGGGAGCAGCCGAAAUAAUUUUUUUAUUUUUUCUCACUGAAGUUUUUGUGUGAGGUUUCUUUAUCUAUCUGUGUGAAUAUUUUACACUUUUUGUUUGUAUUUUUAUGAAUGUGAGGGCACAUGGUGAUAAGUCUACCACACACACAAUAAGUGAAAUAUCACCACAGGGGCUGCUGAUUUGUUGUGUGUUUUUUAGAAGAAACAUUAAACACUUCCAGUGAGCUGCA